AUUGCUAAACAGCUUCACUGGGCAGUCCCUAGGGCUUUCCGAAAACUUGCUGAUUGGAAUAAGAUUGAAGCUUGCACUCAGAAACCCCAUGAACCUUUGCAGGACUGUUACAGUCAUCUCCAAACUGUUUUUCAGGAAAAUUGUGGCCUCCCUAUGAAUGUUAAAUCCACUCAGAUACCCUUCAAUUCUGUGUUCAUUAAAGGGCUGAAUCUGGAUUUUCCCUUGUAGUUAAAAGGACUAGGAUGGAAUGGGAAACUGCUUCAGAUUCAGUUAUUUUAGCAAAGUGGCCCACCCACACCCCAGAGAAUUCAGCUACAAGGAAGACCACUAAAAUCUUUAAUUUUCAACCCUAACAAAUGGAAGCGCCUUAAACAAAAGCAACCCCCUCCUGGUCUCUGCCAUUAUUGGACAUAGGAAGAAAGAUUGUUCCAAAGUGCGUUCCUGGGAGACAAAGAUCUAAAGUGUCAUACCUUGCAGUCCAGAGAUUUCAUCUAUUGGAAAAGACAGCUACAGAAAGACUCUCUUCAACCCUGUGGAAAGGCCCCUUUCAGAUGUAUUUUUUAAACUAAUCUCUCCAC